rnacentral:rRNA from 1 species
AUGGCUCAGGAUGAACGCUAGCGACAGGCCUAACACAUGCAAGUCGAGGGGCAGCGCGGAGUAGCAAUACGUUGGCGGCGACCGGCGCACGGGUGAGUAACACGUAUGCCAACCAACCCAUAACAGGGGGAUAACCCGGAGAAAUCCGGACUAAUACCGCAUAAGACCACGAUAUCGCAUGAUAGUAGGGGUCAAAUAUUUAUAGGUUAUGGGCGGGCAUGCGUCUGAUUAGCUGGUGGCGGGUAACGCCCACAAGGCAUCGAUCAGUAGGGGUUCUGAGAGGAAGGUCCCCCACAUUGGAACUGAGACACGGUCCAAACUCCUACGGGAGGCAGCAGUGAGGAGUAUUGGUCAAUGGGCGAAAGCCUGAACCAGCCAUGUCGCGUGAAGGAAUGAAGGUCCUAUGGAUUGUAAACUUCUUUUGCAGGAGGGUAAAGUGAGCUACGUGUAGUUCAUUGCAAGUACCCUGCGAAUAAGCAUCGGCUAACUCCGUGCCAGCAGCCGC